rnacentral:rRNA from 1 species
UUCCAUUAGCUAGUUGGUGAGGUAACGGCCCACCAAGGCGACGAUGGGUAGCCGGUCUGAGAGGAUGACCGGCCACACUGGGACUGGAACACGGCCCAGACUCCUACGGGAGGCAGCAGUGGGGAAUAUUGCGCAAUGGGCGAAAGCCUGACGCAGCGACGCCGCGUGAGGGAUGAAGGUCCUCGGAUCGUAAACCUCUGUCAGGAGGGAAGAACCGCCACGGUGCUAAUCAGCCGUGGUCUGACGGUACCUCCAAAGGAAGCACCGGCUAACACCGUGCCAGCAGCCGCGGUAAUACGGAGGGUGCGAGCGUUAAUCGGAAUCACUGGGCGUAAAGCGCACGUAGGCUGCUUGGUAAGUCAGGGGUGAAAGCCCGCGGCUCAACCGCGGAAUUGCCUUUGAUACUGCCGAGCUAGAGUCCGGGAGAGGGUAGUGGAAUUCCAGGUGUAGGAGUGAAAUCCGUAGAGAUCUGGAGGAACAUCAGUGGCGAAGGCGACUACCUGGACCGGUACUGACGCUGAGGGGCGAAAGCGUGGGGAGCAAACAGGAUUAGAUACCCUGGUAGUCCACGCCGUAAACGAUGGACAAUUGGU